UCCCUGAAGGUCCAGAGGUUAGACUCUGCACUUCCAUGGCAGGGGGCACAGGUUCGAUCCCUGCUCAGGGAA
rnacentral:tRNA from 1 species